rnacentral:rRNA from 1 species
UACAGAGGUCUCAAGCGUUUGUUCGGAUUCAUUGGGCGUAAAGGGCGCGUAGGCGGCGGGGUAAGUCUGGUGUGAAAUCUCGGAGCUCAACUCCGAAAUUGCACUGGAUACUGCUCUGCUUGAGGGUUGGAGAGGAGAUCGGAAUUCACGGUGUAGCAGUGAAAUGCGCAGAUAUCAGGAGGAACACCAAUUGCGAAGGCAGACUCGCUGGGACGUAACUGACGCUGAGACGCGAAGCGUGGGGAGCAAACAGG